GAAAUGCGAUAAGUAAUGUGAAUUGCAGAAUUCAGUGAAUCAUCGAAUCUUUGAACGCACCUUGCGCUCCUUGGUAUUCCUUGGAGCAUGCCUGUUUGAGUAUCAUGAAAUCUUCAAAGUAAAUCUUUUGUUAACUCAAUUGGUUUCUACUUUGGUAUUGGAGGUCUUUGCAGCUUCACACCUGCUCCUCUUUGUUCAUUAGCUGGAUCUCAGUGUUAUGCUUGGUUCCACUCGGCGUGAUAAGUUAUCUAACGCUGAGGACACUGUAAAAGGUGGCCAAGGUAAAUGCAGAUGAACCGCUUCUAAUAGUCCAUUGACUUGGACAAUACUUUUAUGAUCUGAUCUCAAAUCAGGUAGGACUACCCGCUGAACUUAAGC
rnacentral:misc_RNA from 1 species